rnacentral:rRNA from 1 species
ACGCUCGACACCUACGGGAGGCAGCAGUGAGGAAUAUUGGUCAAUGGACGCAAGUCUGAACCAGCCAUGCCGCGUGCAGGAUGACGGCUCUAUGAGUUGUAAACUGCUUUUGUACGAGGGUAAACGCAGAUACGUGUAUCUGUCUGAAAGUAUCGUACGAAUAAGGAUCGGCUAACUCCGUGUCAGCAGCCGCGGUAAUCUGAGCGGGCUGGCAAGGC